rnacentral:rRNA from 1 species
CACGUAGGGUGCGAGCGUUGUCCGGAAUUAGUGGGCGUAAAGAGCUCGUAGGCGGUGUGUCACGUCGGCCGUGAAAACCUGGGGCUUAACUCUGGGCGUGCGGUCGAUACGGGCAUCACUAGAGUUCGGCAGGGGAGACUGGAAUUCCUGGUGUAGCGGUGAAAUGCGCAGAUAUCAGGAGGAACACCGGUGGCGAAGGCGGGUCUCUGGGCCGAUACUGACGCUGAGGAGCGAAAGCAUGGGUAGCGAACAGG